UUGCCACAAAUUGAAAGUAAUGAGCAUGAGUAAGAUGGUGGAUAUUUAUCAUGUAAUGAUUCAUGUAGUGAUAUUGAAUGCAGUCAAAAUAUGUGGAAUAUAUUAAAGAAACCCUGAAGCUUUUUAAUUUAAGAAUUUUGUUUUCUUAUGCAAGCAGGGGGAAAAAAGAAGGGUUAGCCAAAUUGUGUUAGAGUUCCUUUAUUUGUUUGCAGAGCUAAGGGACCUAACCCAGAUCUCUCAUGCCUUUGGCUUCUAUAUACCCUCUUCCUUGUGUAUAAAAAAAAAAUUGCCUGUGCUUUUCUUCCCUGUUCUUAUUGAUGUUUAAUGAUAAUGUAGUACAUCAUUGAGCUUUCCUAAUGUUUUUUUCUAUACAUUCUACUUGUUCAGCCAAUUGAUUCUUUAGCAGCUUUUAUCUUCUCAAUCCCAAAUGCUAGCUGAUCUAUAAAAGCCAAGAAUUGGAAAGUGGUUGGGUUUUCAUGACUGCAAUAAAUUAGCUGUGAGCAACUAAUUUAGUUCAGAAAAUGUAAAUGCAUCAGCAACACUCUGAGCUGCUGAAGCGUUGUCCACUGAAACCAGGGGAAAGUUGAUUAUUGACUGGGACAGGCUUUGGAGCAGACCUUUAGCAGAGAAAAAAAAGGGCAGGACUGAACUAGAGAAGAAAAAGUUAUGUGAUAAUUCCUACAAAAGGCCCAAGGAGGAUUGUGUGUAUCUGAAUCUUAGAAGAAGACUGAAAAAUGUAUUGCAGACACUACAAAAAACAUUCAAAAUUACUAUAGCUUGUAAAAAAAACCAAAAAACAAACAAACCACCCUUCUCAGCUGUACUUGAUAGUUGCUGCAAACUGAUAUUUGAAAUCUUUGUCAGAGAAAAUUUAAUUUGCCAAUCGAAUUUUUUUCUCCUAAAAAGUGGAGCUGUGCAGCUCAGCUCCAGGCAUUUCUCAAUAAAUACACAGGAAAAAAGCUCAGAUGAUUAUUUGACUGAGAAACAUUUUCAAACUAUCUGAAGAAUCUCAGUGUAGGGAAAAAAGAGUAAAAAUCCUGAGAAAAAAAAAUCAGUUUGGUUUUCUGGUUAAAAUGUUUUCUGAGUAGACAGCUCAAAAGGAGUCAAGGGGAAAAAUAGUUGUUUUACUGAUAAACAUAUUCUAGCACUGUAGAUUUCUCUCCCAGUCUAUAUUUUUAUUGUUUGCCAAAGGGAUAAUGUUUUUUCUCUUUCUUUGUAUUUAUCAACAAUUAAAUUCAAUCAUAAAAGGACAGUUUUAUGCUUACUGACUACCAAAGCUAACUUUUGUUUUUAAAAACUGUCCUCUUCAAGAGUGACAAAAGGUGAAUUUAUUUUUGAAAGUACAUGCCACAUAUGCAUGAGAAGUUAACUGUCAAAACCUUCCCAGGGAUUCUUUCAAAUUAUCCAUUUUAUGCUAAAAAGUUCAAAGAGGCUUUACAGAAGGAAUCUUGAGGGAUGGGAUUUUAGAACCCUUGGGUAAAAACAUUAGUGAAGUACCAGAGGUUUCAUACCCAAAACCAUUUGAGAAGAUAGCUUGUUGUUAUUCUCUCAUUGCAGCUCCAAGCCUGUGUUUUGUAAAACCAGGAUCUCAGGGUUUAACAGAACAGGUGGAAAAUACAUCUGAUUUUUAAAUUGCACUUAACUGCCAUAUUUAGGGACUGAUGCAGAGAAACCACCAAAAAGCCUCACUAGAACCCAGCCAAACAGUUCUAAUAAAUUGUUGAUCUUUUUGUAUCCA
ensembl:lncRNA